UCAAAUUAAAUAAGUUUUUUACUUAAUUUUCUUUUGUUUCUGAUUUUUGGGUUUUGGUCUUUAAAUCUUAAUCUACAAAUCCUAAAAAUAAUUAUGGGUUCUUCUUUACUGUGCUUGUUAAGGUUGUAGCUUUCGAUUUGCUUUUAGGUUUAUGCUUAGAUUAUCGAGAUAAUUCGAGAUAAUUGGGGUACUAGCAAAUCCCUAAUUUUGAUUUUGAUUUUGAUUUUUAAGUAUGAUUAAUUUGAUUUUGAUUUGAUUUUUGAUCCACAAUUGAAUCUCCAAACGCAAAAACAGCUUUUACAAUUAUGUUUUUAGGUACAUGCAUCUAGCGAGAAUGAAUAUUUCUUCAAUUUCACCUUUAAUUUCUCUGACCCAUUUGAAAAUAUGCAGGAAUCAGAAGUAAUUUUUCUUGAAUAGCCAUCGCCUAAAGCUCUUUCUCAGUGUCGACUGCUCUUUCGCUGGAGGUUCAACAUGACAGGAAUUGGAUGAUGCAAAGGUCAAGGUGGAACUGGCCGUGGACGUGGCCAUUUUCAAGGACGUGGCAAUUCUGGAGUGACGUCUCAUCCACAAUUGCAAGCUAAGGGUAAAUACUAGAGCAUCCCUAGAGAACAGGGAAUCAAAUAAUCCUUGUCAAGAACCUAUAGAGAGUGGACAAAUAUCAAACAAUCCUUUGCAGAGACCUUCUGUAGAGACAGUAUCAUCAAGAAAUCUGGACAGAAGUGUGUAUCCUUCUCCAGAAGCUGAAAGUGGUAGUGCAGUUUCUUCCAGGAACAAAAAGAGAGGAAGAGGAAAAUAUAAAUCUAAAACUGUAGAUAUUAAAGCUAAGUACGGCGGAAAAAUCACAAUUACGACCCCAGAUGACAUUGAUAGAGCAGUAGGUGCUGGGGCAAGAGAUAUUGUUAAUUACUGUGGUUUGAUCAUGAGGAGCACUAUCUCAUUCCGGGAUGGAAAUUGGCAAAAGAUGGCUUCAAAAUAUGGAGUAACAAUGUGGUUAAAGGUUAAGGCUGUAAGCGAGAGAAAUAGAAAGAACAGGGAAAAACAGAUAACUAAGCAUACUUGUGGUACAAGGUCUUUUGCAGAAGCAGAGGAAUCGACGGCGAAAAGAUAUUUAUUAUAGAGGAAGAGGCUAGUGUGUCUUCUGCUAUGGCAACUAUGCGCCAAGAAAUGCAAGCUGAGAUGAGUCGAAAGUUGCAAGAAGAACGUGAACAAAUGGUUGCCGAAUUAAAAAGUAACAUGGAACAAGAGUUGCAAAGGAAGUUGGAAGAGCAGGUUGAGCACGUGAAUGCGGAAGUAGACAACCGGAUCAGUGUAGAAGUAGCCAAGAGGAUUCAAGAACAACCGGCUGCUAUCAUGACUGGAAUGCAACAGGUGAUCUACUCUUAAUGUUUCGGGACAAGGUUCUUAAACAGUGGUGACAAUGAAGGAGGAGCUUGAAGCUAAGGCACUCAAUGUUUUGCUUCUUGGUUAUUUGUAAAUGCGUACAAUGACAAUGAAGUAUUACGAAGUAUAUAUGCGGAGGAACUUAAGACUAAGGCACUCAAUAUUUUGCUUUUUGGUUAUAUGUAUAUGCGUACAAUGACAAUGAUGUAUUACGUAGUGUAUAUGCGGAGGAACUUGAAGCUAAGGCACUCAAUAUUUUGCAUUUUGGUUAUAUGUAUAUGCGUACAAUGAAAAUGAAGUAUUGCAUAGUAUAUAUGUAACUGAACUUUUAGUAAUGGAAGUGUUUAGUAUUUGGUUUAGGAAA